rnacentral:lncRNA from 1 species
CGUAGGUAAAGUUUAUGCAAGGCGGGGCCUUCGAGUUGAGGAAAAUAGCAACGUCAAAGAAGAUAAGUAGAUAGGAAUACAGAUGCACCUGACACAUAUUUAGGGCAUUUAAAUAGUCAGUAGUUUAAUUUCACUAGAAUUCUUUAUUUAGUAGGUCUCUUAUAUCUGUAGACUCCUAGUUAUGCUUAAUAGCUUUGUAAUAAGACUCUAUUUAAAGAGACAGAAGGAAUAAAGAAAAGAGGCAAGCUUUAUAUUAAAAACAAGAGAUUUGAGACUCUCUCUACAGAGUUCUAAGAUUAUAGGCUCCCUUUAACGAGCUUAUUUAUUGUUAUCAAAAAUAGGUCGCUCACGGAAUAGAAACAAGGGAAAGGAUCUGUUCAACACAGACUUUCCAGUGAAUCGCCCUGUGACAAGAUCCAUUCUG